GUGGCUUCGCGCGUCCGCAAUUUUCAGUGUGUGGUGCGUUGUUGCUGCUGCCUACUCUUUUCUUUCUGCUCUCCACGGCAGCGGGAAAGGAAAAUACAUACACAUGCAUACAGGGCCCCAUCACAUACAGUAAAAAUAAAUUCAACUUUAUUGCUUUUCCCCCCGUCGCGUUAUCGUGUGUGUGUGUGUAUUAGUAUUAUAUAUAUUUUACCAUAUAUAUAUGGCUUGGAAAAGCAACACCAAAAUUUGAUAUGUGCAAGGUUUAUUGACGACUACGUGCUGCCUGUGAUUCUAUUUCGCAUAACUGCUGACACAUUAAACAAAUCUCCAAAAAGAACCAAAGGCGAAAGCUGAUUUUUUGUUUAGACACUUAAGUUUGAUUCAAUAUUCAUCAAAAUACGAGUGGCGAAAAAAAGCAAGUCAGAGAGAGCGCGCGACGUUCGGCCCCAAGGUCGUGGGCCCUUACCCCCAGGAUCCAUUUCCAAACACCCCAUCCAACCACCCAAGAAACCAAAAUGGAUGACGAUCAGCAGUUUUGUUUGCGGUGGAACAACCACCAGAGCACACUGAUCAGCGUGUUCGACACGUUGCUGGAGAACGAGACUCUAGUCGAUUGCACGCUAGCCGCCGAGGGCAAAUUUCUCAAGGCCCACAAGGUGGUGCUGUCAGCAUGCAGUCCCUACUUUGCUACCUUACUACAAGAACAGUACGACAAACAUCCCAUCUUUAUACUCAAGGAUGUCAAGUACCAAGAGCUGCGCGCCAUGAUGGACUACAUGUACCGCGGCGAGGUCAAUAUCUCGCAGGAUCAGCUGGCCGCUCUGCUCAAGGCCGCCGAGUCGCUGCAGAUCAAGGGCCUGUCGGACAAUCGCACUGGCGGCGGAGCAGCCCCCAAGCCUGAGUCCUCCGGCCAUCAUCGCGGCGGUAAGCUUAGCGGUGCCUACACACUGGAGCAGACGAAGCGGGCUCGACUUGCCACCGGCGGAGCGAUGGACACGUCUGGCGAUGUGUCCGGUUCACGCGAGGGCUCAUCGAGUCCGUCGCGUCGUCGUCGAAAAGUCCGACGUCGCAGCAUGGAGAAUGAUGCCCACGACAACUCCAACUCGUCCGUGUUACAAGCCGCCGCCUCGAAUCAGUCAAUCCUCCAGCAGACAGGAGCCGGUUUGGCCGUCUCCGCUUUGGUCAGCACCCAGUUGUCCAGCGGACCUGCAGCCGGAACCAGCAGCCAAGCGUCGUCGACCCAGCAACAGCAGCCAUUGACCAGCACCAACGUUACCAAAAAGACUGAAAGCGCUAAACUAACAUCCUCGACAGCCGCCCCAGCGAGCGGAGCAUCUGCGUCAGCGGCCGCCGUACAACAGGCCCAUCUGCAUCAGCACCAGCAGCAGGCGCAGACCACAAGCGAUGCCAUUAACACCGAUAAUGUACAAGCCCAGAGCCAAGGUGGCGCCCAAGGCGUCCAAGGCGAUGACGAGGACAUUGACGAGGGUAGUGCCGUUGGCGGAUCAAACGCCGCCAGCGGACCCAAUCCCGCCUCUGCAUCCGCCGUCCAUGCCGGAGUUGUGGUAAAGCAGCUGGCCAGCGUUGUGGACAAAUCGUCGUCGAAUCACAAACAUAAAAUCAAAGACAACAGCGUGUCAUCAGUGGGCUCCGAAAUGGUUAUUGAACCCAAAGCCGAAUACGAUGACGAUGCGCACGAUGAGAACGUUGAAGAUUUGACACUGGACGAGGAGGACAUGACAAUGGAAGAGCUGGACCAGACGGCCGGCACCAGCCAGGGUGGCGAAGGAUCUAGUCAAACAUAUGCAACAUGGCAGCACGACAGAUCUCAGGAUGAACUUGGACUAAUGGCACAGGAUGCACAGCAACGGGAUCCCCAAGAUGUCUCUACAAACAAAACUGUUGUACUACCCCACUACUUCAUCUACCAAUACUACUCCAAUAUCUACUACCUACUAUCACAUACUACUAUCUAUGAAGCCGACCGAACCGUAUUUUGUCCUGGAAAACUCGACUGUCUGCUGCAGCGCAACGAUCUGCAAGAAACAAACUCCAAGCAGCUAUGUAUCCAACUCAAGCCAAACUCCACCGCCAGUUGGGGGUUCAUCGGCCAGUUCGGCGCAAGCCCUGAUCCGCGACUACUGGUACGAGCUCAAGUUCUCCGAUCUGUUCAAGUUUAUAAAUCCUGACGGACGUUACCAGUGCCCGAGAUUCAAUUGCCUGAAGAGCUACAAGGACGCCAGCUCGCUGCAACGACAUAUCAGAUAUGAAUGUGGAGGACAGAAAAAAUUUCGCUGUCUGAUGUGCGGCAAAGCAUUUUCACAAAGCUCCCACC
rnacentral:misc_RNA from 1 species